ensembl:lncRNA
CUACAACACAGAGUGGCAUUAAGUAUGAGCAGAGUUCACCGGGAACAAAAUGUUUUUUCCAGGCGCAGGGAAAGCUGCUGCCAGAGCCCGGCCAGCUGCUGACCCCCUGCCAGGGAGCAUGCUGAGCACAAAAUAUUUUUAAGCAUCUUGUAAAACUCUGCUCUGAAUGAGAAAGAAAUGUUUUACUCUUGUCUGUCACUCUGCCAGAAAGCCUCUUACGGAUUGUGGCUGUCAGGCGAAGUCUUUGUGGCUGUCAGGCGAAGUCCCCGGUGAUGAUAAAAAAGGGAAACAUCACUCCCGUUUUUAACAGAGAGAAAGGAAGACCUGGGAACUACAGGCUGGUGAGCUUCACAUCUGUGCCUGGAAAGAUCAUGGAGUGGAUCCUCCUGGAAGAAAUGUUAAGGCACACUGAGAUGAAGGGGCGAUCCGAGACAGCCAGCACAGCUUCACCAAGGGCAGAGCGUGCCUGACCCAUCCGGUGGCAUUCUGUGAUGGAGUGAUGGCAUUGGUGGGCAAAGGAAGUGCAACUGAUGUCAUCUACCUGGAGUUGUGCCUUUGACACAGUCCUGUACCACAUCCUUAUCUCCAAAUUGGAGGCUGGGAGUUGGACUAGAUGAACUUCAAAGGCUUCUUCCAACUCUAAGGAUUCUAUGAUUCAAAUUGGUUGGAUGGUCACAGACAGAGUGCUGUUGUCAAUGGCUCCAUGUCCAGGUGGAGGCCGGUGAUGAGUGGUGUCCCCCAGGGGUCCAUCCUGGGACCGGAGCUCUUCAGCAUCUCUAUCAGUGACACAGAUGGUGGGAUGGAGUGCACCCUCAGCAGUUUGCUGAUGACACCGAGCUGAGUGGUGCAGUGGACACAACAGAAGGAAGGGACGCCAUGCAGAGGGACAUUCCAGGGGGAAUGGCUUUAAAUUACGAGAGUGGAGAUAGAGAGAUGCUGUCCUCCUCCUUCUCCUGCCAGCCCGUCCCCCUCAGCAGCACACUGCAACCCCUGACCCCUCUGCUAGGAGAAAGGAAUACUAAUUGCUUGGAGACACUCCACAGAAAGUGGACGUUAAGUGGACUAAUGCUGAACGGCAAUGGAAAUUACAGCACGGACGCCAUCAGAAUCCAUCACAACUAAUGCGAUUAGAGCUGGCAGCACAGGAAUUCGUAAUGAUCUGCACUGUGCCCUCAAGUUGUGAC